GUAGCCUUCACAGUAUGGUCUUCUACCAAACCUUUUUUUCUUUUCUAGGUUACCGUCACAUAAGGAUUCAUCUCAAGGGGUCUCCUAUUGAUGAUCUCAGCUCUUGCUCUCCACUUAUUCCCCUUUUCAGAUUUCUUUCAUCCUCCUAUGAUACACGGGUUUUCUGGAUGGCAGACAGUAGACAAGAUUAAAGUAAAAGACAAAAUAUAUCUUGAGUAUUUUGUCAGAAGAACAGACUUAUCCCUGCUUGUUGAACAUAAUAGGACUGGAAAGAGCUUUUAUAACUGGGCUCUGGUCAACCAUGGCAGAUCAUGGUACCCUGGGAAGAUCAGCCUCACUGGGAUUCAAGUUCGUCAGCUGAAAAAGAGGGGGAGACAUUAAAUAAUCUGUAAGGUUUCUUCUAUUACAAAUUGCCAUGAUUUCUUCUUUACAACUUAUUUCUCAUUUAGGAAGAAAAUGGGUAAAACGCAAGGUAUAAAAUAUGAAUUGCAUUGUAUAGUAGGAAAUCAUGAACUUUGUCUUGG
rnacentral:lncRNA from 1 species